rnacentral:rRNA from 1 species
UACGGGGGGAGCAAACGUUGUUCGGAAUUACUGGGCGUAAAGGGCUCGUAGGCGGCCAACUAAGUCAUACGUGAAAUCCCUCAGCUUAACUGGGGAACUGCGUGUGAUACUGGAUGGCUUGGAUUUGGGAGAGGGAUGCGGAAUUCCAGGUGUAGCGGUGAAAUGCGUAGAUAUCAGGAGGAACACCGGUGGCGAAGGCGGCUAUCUGGACAGAAACUGACGCUGAGGCGCGAAAGCCAGGGGAGCAAACGGG